CUAAUAUGAUGAUAACCUUUAUCCCGAAUUCGAAGCCAAAUGAGAUUAAUAUUCAAUUCUGAUCGA
rnacentral:snoRNA from 1 species